GGAAGUAUGGCUCAAGUGGUACAGCACCUGCCUAGCAAACAUGAACCCUGAGUUCAAGUCUCAAUAUCACCA
rnacentral:tRNA from 1 species